CUGUGAAAAGCAGAGGCAGCACCGGGAAGGGGGAAAGAGGGGUGUGUGGCAAGGGAGCAGAGGACAGCAGCCACUGUAUGACAGCAAGUGUCUUGAUAAAUGGGACCGUCAAACCUAACCUCAGAGAUGCAGAGGCUGGGCUACAGCACCAAGCACCAGCCUACCAGGAGAGAGAACCCCACAGUGACUUUUCUUGCUCAGACAAGGAUAUGAAUUA